GAUGAACGCUAGCGGCAGGCUUAAUACAUGCAAGUCGAGGGGCAGCAUGAAUGUAGCAAUACAUUUGAUGGCGACCGGCAAACGGGUGCGGAACACGUACACAACCUUCCUAUAAGUGGGGAAUAGCCCAGAGAAAUUUGGAUUAAUACCCCGUAACAUAAUGAUGUGGCAUCACAUUAUUAUUAUAGCUACGGCGCUUAUUGAUGGGUGUGCGGCUGAUUAGAUAGUUGGCGGGGUAACGGCCCACCAAGUCUACGAUCAGUAGCUGAUGUGAGGGCAUGAUCAGCCACACGGGCACUGAGACACGGGCCCGACUCCUACGGGAGGCAGCAGUAAGGAAUAUUGGUCAAUGGACGCAAGUCUGAACCAGCCAUGCCGCGUGAAGGAUUAAGGUCCUCUGGAUUGUAAACUUCUUUUAUCUGGGACGAAAUCUGAAUAUUCCUAUUCAGUUGACGGUACCCUAGGAAUAAGCACCGGCUAACUCCGUGCCAGCCGCCGCCGUAAUAC
rnacentral:rRNA from 1 species